GGUAUAGCUAGGCAGCACAGCGCCUGCCUUGAAAGCAUGAGGUCCUGAGUUUGAUUCCCAGUAUC
rnacentral:tRNA from 1 species